rnacentral:lncRNA from 1 species
GUUACUUCAGGCCAGUUAAGUAAGAUGUUGUACAACUACAGGACUCUCAAUCUCACUCAAGUUGAUGGGUCAGUUGCACGAAUGGUAACUGUAAUUCACACUGGUCACGGGAAAAAGUGCCGCUGUGUGGGAAUCAAUUGUAGUUUCUCCGGAAAAGAUGUUACAGCCAGUGUAUGAAGACUGAACUUUUGAUAGGUCACAGGUGCUCUCGCAAAGACUGAUGGCCUGGCAGCAUAAACUAUUCUAUGGUUAUAGGGGUAAUGUCUUUAAACAGAAGCAUGCUGUUGUGGAGUGAAAGUGCACAAACCAUUGAUAACCCUUUGGAGAAUCAGUACCAGAUGUCUUUUCAAAUGUUUGCCAUUCUGAAGUUUUUUUUGACUGAGCAGUGUCAAACAGUCUUCGGAUCCUAGAGAAUCAGUUCCUCCAAAUGAACAAAUCACCAGUCAUAAAAAUUAUGGGCAGAGAUAUUUCAUGGAAGAGAGAUAACAUGACAAUACAAAAAUAGGUACAGUAUAUAAAGUAUAGGAUGGCAACUAUUUUCUAUACACAACCUUUUCAUAGUUCAUAAUGGGCUUCUUUUGUUAUACCCUGCCGAAGGCGGAAGUAUAUAGUUUUGGCUUUGGCAGACCAUCUUUCCAGCCGUCCUUCCAUAGUCAUUUCUCGUAGUAUAAAAUGUGGUAGUACUGUUAACUGCUAUAAAGAAAUAUGUUCCUGCAAGUUUCAGUUGCAUUAUUUGAGGAAGCCAAGAUUUAUAGCCCUUUGUACUUGUAUCUACAUGUAUAUAUAGAACAGUCCAUACUAAAGUUUAGGUCAAUUUUACAACUAGGUCAUCAGCUGUUAAGCACAAGGCCACUAACUCAAAUCAUA